UAAACACGUUAGGGGAGCUGGUGAAGUCCGGCUGAGAAUAAAACCGAUUCGUUUUAGACCCAUAUACCUGAUCCGGGUAAUGCCGGCGUAGGAAUCAUAGAGGAAGAUAUUAU
rfam:Firmicutes bacterium CAG:424 genomic scaffold, scf80